GCUGGCGGCGCGCCUAAUACAUGCAAGUCGAGCGAGAAGACGUAGCAAUACGUUUGUAAAGCGGCGAACGGGUGAGGAAUACAUGGGUAACCUACCCUCGAGUGGGGAAUAACUAGCCGAAAGGUUAGCUAAUACCGCGUACGCUCCUUGGACUUCGGUUCAGGGAGGAAAGCGAUACCGUGGGUAUCGCGCUCUUGGUUGGGCUCAUGUCCUAUCAGCUUGUUGGUGAGGUAACGGCUCACCAAGGCUUCGACGGGUAGCUGGUCUGAGAGGACGAUCAGCCACACUGGCACUGCGACACGGGCCAGACUCCUACGGGAGGCAGCAGUAAGGAAUAUUGCGCAAUGGGCGAAAGCCUGACGCAGCGACGCCGCGUGGGGGAUGAAGGUCUUCGGAUUGUAAACCCCUUUCGGGAGGGAAGAUGGAACGAGCAAUCGUUCGGACGGUACCUCCAGAAGCAGCCACGGCUAACUUCGUGCCGGCAGCCGCGGUAAUACGAAGGUGGCAAGCGUUAUUCGGAUUUACUGGGCGUACAGGGAGCGUAGGCGGUUCGGUAAGCCCUUUGUGAAAUCUCCAGGCUUAACCUGGAACAGUCGGAGGGGACUGCUGGGCUAGAGGACGGGAGAGGAGCGCGGAAUUCCCGGUGUAGCGGUGAAAUGCGUAGAGAUCGGGAGGAAGGCCGGUGGCGAAGGCGGCGCUCUGGAACGUUUCUGACGCUGAGGCUCGAAA
rnacentral:rRNA from 1 species